rnacentral:rRNA from 1 species
CCCGCCCGUCACGCCAUGGAAGCUGUGAGCCGACCGAAGUCCGUGUACCGAAACCCUCACGGGAUCAAGCGGCCGAAGGCGAGCGCAGUGACUGGGGCG